UGGAAGCGUCUGGAAAGGCGCGCGAUACAGGGUGACAGCCCCGUACACAAAAAUGCACAUGCUGUGAGCUCGAUGAGUAGGGCGGGACACGUGGUAUCCUGUCUGAAUAUGGGGGGACCAUCCUCCAAGGCUAAAUACUCCUGACUGACCGAUAGUGAACCAGUACCGUGAGGGAAAGGCGAAAAGAACCCCGGCGAGGGGAGUGAAAAAGAACCUGAAACCGUGUACGUACAAGCAGUGGGAGCACAGAGCAAUCUGUGUGACUGCGUACCUUUUGUAUAAUGGGUCAGCGACUUAUAUUCUGUAGCAAGGUUAACCGAAUAGGGGAGCCGAAGGGAAACCGAGUCUUAACUGGGCGUUAAGUUGCAGGGUAUAGACCCGAAACCCGGUGAUCUAGCCAUGGGCAGGUUGAAGGUUGGGUAACACUAACUGGAGGACCGAACCGACUAAUGUUGAAAAAUUAGCGGAUGACUUGUGGCUGGGGGUGAAAGGCCAAUCAAACCGGGAGAUAGCUGGUUCUCCCCGAAAGCUAUUUAGGUAGCGCCUCGUGAAUUCAUCUCCGGGGGUAGAGCACUGUUUCGGCAAGGGGGUCAUCCCGACUUACCAACCCGAUGCAAACUGCGAAUACCGGAGAAUGUUAUCACGGGAGACACACGGCGGGUGCUAACGUCCGUCGUGAAGAGGGAAACAACCCAGACCGCCAGCUAAGGUCCCAAAGUCAUGGUUAAGUGGGAAACGAUGUGGGAAGGCCCAGACAGCCAGGAUGUUGGCUUAGAAGCAGCCAUCAUUUAAAGAAAGCGUAAUAGCUCACUGGUCGAGUCGGCCUGCGCGGAAGAUGUAACGGGGCUAAACCAUGCACCGAAGCUGCGGCAGCGACGCUGAUGCGUUGUUGGGUAGGGGAGCGUUCUGUAAGCCUGUGAAGGUGUGCUGUGAGGCAUGCUGGAGGUAUCAGAAGUGCGAAUGCUGACAUAAGUAACGAUAAAGCGGGUGAAAAGCCCGCUCGCCGGAAGACCAAGGGUUCCUGUCCAACGUUAAUCGGGGCAGGGUGAGUCGACCCCUAAGGCGAGGCCGAAAGGCGUAGUCGAUGGGAAACAGGUUAAUAUUCCUGUACUUGGUGUUACUGCGAAGGGGGGACGGAGAAGGCUAUGUUGGCCGGGCGACGGUUGUCCCGGUUUAAGCGUGUAGGCUGGUUUUCCAGGCAAAUCCGGAAAACUAAGGCUGAGGCGUGAUGACGAGGCACUACGGUGCUGAAGCAACAAAUGCCCUGCUUCCAGGAAAAGCCUCUAAGCAUCAGGUAACAUCAAAUCGUACCCCAAACCGACACAGGUGGUCAGGUAGAGAAUACCAAGGCGCUUGAGAGAACUCGGGUGAAGGAACUAGGCAAAAUGGUGCCGUAACUUCGGGAGAAGGCACGCUGAUAUGUAGGUGAAGUCCCUCGCGGAUGGAGCUGAAAUCAGUCGAAGAUACCAGCUGGCUGCAACUGUUUAUUAAAAACACAGCACUGUGCAAACACGAAAGUGGACGUAUACGGUGUGACGCCUGCCCGGUGCCGGAAGGUUAAUUGAUGGGGUCAGCGCAAGCGAAGCUCUUGAUCGAAGCCCCGGUAAACGGCGGCCGUAACUAUAACGGUCCUAAGGUAGCGAAAUUCCUUGUCGGGUAAGUUCCGACCUGCACGAAUGGCGUAAUGAUGGCCAGGCUGUCUCCACCCGAGACUCAGUGAAAUUGAACUCGCUGUGAAGAUGCAGUGUACCCGCGGCAAGACGGAAAGACCCCGUGAACCUUUACUAUAGCUUGACACUGAACAUUGAGCCUUGAUG
rnacentral:rRNA from 1 species